rnacentral:rRNA from 1 species
GACGAACGCUGGCGGCGUGCUUAACACAUGCAAGUCGAACGAAGUGGCGAACGGGUGAGUAACGCGUCAUCAACCUGCCCUUCAGAUGGGGACAACAGUUGGAAACGACUGCUAAUACCGCAUACUGAAGGAGGUGAUUGCGUCUGCUUAGCUAGUUGGCGGGGUAACGGCCCACCAAGGCGAUGAUCAGUAGCCGGUAUGAGAGGAGGAACGGCCACAUUGGGACUGAGACACGGACCUUACUCCUACGGGAGGCAGUAGUGGGGAAUAGUGGACAAUGGACCAAAGUCUGAUCCAGCAAUUCUGUGGGAACGAUGAAGUUUUUCGGAAUGUAAAGUGCUUUCAGUUGGGAAGCGGGACCAACAGAAGAAGUGACGGCUAAAUACGUGCCAGCAGCCGCGGUAAUUC